GAAUUUUACUUUCAAUAGCAUGAAGAUAAGUUCCUGCUAAUCAAGUGAUUUCUUUACGUUCGAUUCUCUAAGGGGCCAGUACAACAGUGUCUGAAGCCAGAGAGCCAGGCCUGGAAUCCUGAUUUUGCUGCUUACUAACCAUGUGACCUUGGGCUGCAGGCUCACUAUAAAACACCAGAGGCCUUCUUUCCCUUCUCUUCCCAAGAACCCGCGGGGGACUUUGGGUUGCAGCGGUCUGGGCUUUUCUUAGUCCCAGAGGCAAGUGAACAGUCCCUUGUUUCCAAAAAUGCUCAUAGAGCCACGUGGAGGCAACUCCAAGUUCACCAACCCAAUGGAAAGUGGCUGCCUGCCUUCCACUUGCCUCCAAUACGCUGUGAACUUUCCAUUCAGAAACUGUGAUCGAUAUUCCACAAGUUGGACCAUACAGAAGCUAAACCACUGAAAGUCAUCCUGAUGGCAAUCGAGCAGAUCAGACGUGCAGGGGCUCCCGACUGCAGACACAGGGUCUUUCUUCACCUCUCUGAGGCUAUUCCUGCCAUCUAAGGCAAGCCCACCCAGGCAGCAAGUAGAAGCAUGGGUGAGCUCUCCUUAGCACCAAAGCCUCCUGAGAUCGAAUGUUGAAGAUGAGCAGUUUUGGAAGGAGAAGGAUUGAGUGAAUUUUUAUACCAAGUUCAACAAAGGCAAGGCCGUCUUUUUAAGUGUUGUACUAGGAGCAUUAGCUAUUUGGGCAGAGUAACCUGAAAUGUUUAUGAAUUGUAGCCUCAAAAAAGAUUUUAUGCAUUGAGGGUGCUGGGCUUUUGUGAUGAGGCCUUAGUUUCUUAAUUUUUAAGAUGUGGCUAAUAACAAUUCUCUUGUAAUGUCGUUAGGGUCAGCAGUAGCACGUACUCCCAACACCGAACACCAGCUCCUAAGUAGAUGCUCAAUAAACAUGUGUCAAAUGGCUGAAAUGAAUUAGAGUUAACUUACAGUGCACUUUGCAUAGAACCUGGUGAAAACAAGAGCUUUUAGCUAUCCAAACCGCAGAGGAAAUAGAUGCUAAUGAAUUUCCCUAAACAAAUUUGGUCACGUAAUAAGAAUAAAUAUUUGUGAAA